rnacentral:rRNA from 1 species
ACACAUGCAGUCGAGCGGUAACAGAUCCAGCUUGCUGGAUGCUGACGAGCGGCGGACGGGUGAGUAAUGCAUAGGAAUCUGCCCGAUAGUGGGGGAUAACCUGGGGAAACCCAGGCUAAUACCGCAUACGUCCUACGGGAGAAAGGGGGCUCCGGCUCCCGCUAUGGGAUGAGCCUAUGUCGGAUUAGCUAGUUGGUGAGGUAACGGCUCACCAAGGCCACGAUCCGUAGCUGGUCUGAGAGGAUGAUCAGCCACAUCGGGACUGAGACACGGCCCGAACUCCUACGGGAGGCAGCAGUGGGGAAUAUUGGACAAUGGGGGAAACCCUGAUCCAGCCAUGCCGCGUGUGUGAAGAAGGCCCUCGGGUUGUAAAGCACUUUCAGCGAGGAAGAACGCCUAGCGGUUAAUACCCGCUAGGAAAGACAUCACUCGCAGAAGAAGCACCGGCUAACUCCGUGCCAGCAGCCGCGGUAAUACGGAGGGUGCAAGCGUUAAUCGGAAUUACUGGGCGUAAAGCGCGCGUAGGUGGCUUGAUAAGCCGGUUGUGAAAGCCCCGGGCUCAACCUGGGAACGGCAUCCGGAACUGUCAAGCUAGAGUGCAGGAGAGGAAGGUAGAAUUCCCGGUGUAGCGGUGAAAUGCGUAGAGAUCGGGAGGAAUACCAGUGGCGAAGGCGGCCUUCUGGACUGACACUGACACUGAGGUGCGAAAGCGUGGGUAGCAAACAGGAUUAGAUACCCUGGUAGUCCACGCCGUAAACGAUGUCGACCAGCCGUUGGGUGCCUAGCGCACUUUGUGGCGAAGUUAACGCGAUAAGUCGACCGCCUGGGGAGUACGGCCGCAAGGUUAAAACUCAAAUGAAUUGACGGGGGCCCGCACAAGCGGUGGAGCAUGUGGUUUAAUUCGAUGCAACGC